CCUUCCAAUGCUCUUUGUUCUUCUUUCAAUCUUGGUUCUUUCAGUGGUGCUGUUGAGCACAGGGCAUGGCCAGCGAGCAGGCAGCUGCUCCCUGAGGAGUGACGUGGUGGGUUGGCCAUGAACAAACGCCAGCCACAAGCUUCAGGACAUGCACAUCCUCCAGGAAGGAGCCAGAAAACACAAGUGCACCAGAAAUUAGAUGAAGAAGCUUGAAGUCUUUGGUAAGAAAUUUCAGCCAUCUAGAAUGUUAGAAUAAGCAGACGUUUCAUACUAGUCUAUCUUUUCUCUUAUGAAAGUAGCAUGUCACUUAGAAAAGGAGGCUGACCAUCUGGCUACGAGAUUUUCUCUGAGAUACUUCAUUUGCAUGUUGAUCAUGAUGCACUGAGCUUGUGUCACCUGCUGUACAGGACUAGGAGAUGUGAGCUUGUACCUCCCAUUGCUGGAAGAGGUGUCGUGUAAGAAACCCACCACUGCAGCCCCAGAGCACUUUCCACCUCACAGAAAGGCAAAGAUAGCCAUGAUACAUACAGAGAUCUGUGGCCCUUCAGCAAGACAAGGGGGCACAGCUAAACUACCAGUGCUCCUCCUCUCUGGGAAUACCCACAUCUGAUACUGACUGCUGGAGGAACUGAAGGUCCUGAAGUUGCCAUGGAACCACCUGGCAAGAACUGGAAAAGAAGUAUUAGGUUUGACAAAGAGGGUCAAGCAGUUCUGCAUCAGAAUGACACCAAGGACUUUCUAGAUCCUUCACGAUGAGGCACAUUAAGUAUGGAGCAAGUGAAAAGAUGGUGAAGAACAAAAAAGCUCUCAAGUAGAUAGACGUAAUCCAGCAGCCUCAAAGGUCACAGCUAUGGGAACGUUGCUGUUGUACAUAGUGAGAGAGCCUGGCUCAUGCCCUCUUCUAGUACAGCUUUGCCAAUCUUCAGAGCAAUAUGGAAAUGAAAGCAAAGAAAACCCCAAAAACAACCUGGGCGAUUGAUCUGGUGCUGGCCUAAUGGUGCUGAACACGAGUGCUGAUGAAAGAGGUGCUGGAUCCAAAUAAACCAUUGGCGAAAUGACAGUAAAGAAUGUGUGAGCAUCCAGUACUUCAUCACUGUUAUCACCACAGUAUGGAGGUGUGAGUGAAGGCCCACAGCCUUCUACUGAGCUAUGAACAAAGUGCUGCCCAUAAACAGGGACUCAACCUCCAGCUGCUGCAGUUGGGACUUUCUGUCAGGAAAAGUCGGUGUGACUGUGGAUGGACCACUGAAUGAAAGGCAGUUUUGGUGUUUGCUUGCUUGUUCAGAUACUUAUUCACCGCCAUUUAUGUUCAGCAGAAUUUUGAACUUUGAGUUCUUAAGUGGCAUCUGAAACCUUUCCUAGCACAUUAAUUUAUUCACAUACUUUUUCUGAGUUCAUUAGAGGAAUUAAAGAGAAAGAUAAUACCAUGACCGGAAGGACCAAACAGCAGCUGAUAAGCCCAUCAGGAGCGUAUUAGACAUAUUUCAUUAACGGUCAGAUAAUUAAAGGGGAAGAUGUGAGACACAAAUUGAGUCCAUCUUUGAUCAGAAGCUGUGAGGUUUGCUCUUUGAUCCUGAUAAAAGGUAAAGAAAAACAGUUUUAGAAAAGAAUGGAGGAAUGUCCCUAUUAACAUCAAAUAUGAGACCCCUGUUAUGGUAAGGAAAGGAAAUGUAGAUGGCAAAGAUCAAAGGUGUAUUCUGUAGGAACAAAUGCUGUGUUACAUAAACUUUGCUUUUUCAAAGUGGAGAUUUCAUUUUUGCAGAAUCCUUUUGAGAAACGCACCAGAGAAUUUGGAAUUUUCGUGGGGUAGAAACUGGUAGGAAUUGAAAAUAAAAAUGCAAGAAGGUGCAUUCUGGAAAGACGAUAUUUCAAAAGAUGGUCAGAAAAUUGCUUUUUCUUCUGUAGGAGCUUGGAGCUGCAUAACAAAAAUUCAAAUACUGAAAUCUUUUUUGCUUGGAAAGCAUGUAGCCAGUGGGGCAAAGCUCCUGACAUUUCACACCUUGACACUGCUGGCUGGUCAGCUGCACUCUUGCAGACAAAAAGGGUUGGAGCCAGUCUUGUUUCCAGGCUGAGGUUAGGUCACUGAUACGAAGCUCAGAGAUGUGCAGCCCUGCAGCCCCACUGCAGCUGGAAUGUGGGCAAUGGGCAUUUGGUGCCAACUGCAUCCGUGUGCCAGACCCUGCAGAAUACAAAAUAAAUGCUGGUUGUUGGUAUGGACACCUUCUGUCUCUUAUUCAGGACUCCCAUAACUUUCCAUUGGUCUAUGCUGUCUUUAUGUAAAUAUCUUUAUGUAAAUACCAAUUCUGGCUUUUAAUAGUCUUUAGCUCAGUGCUACAACAAACUCACGCUGAUCUAAUAAUGAAUGACAAGCUUAAUAAUGUAAGAAACUAGGGGCUUAAGUCAGUCUCCAGAGUUUAAUAAAGCUGCUAAAUAAGAAAAUGUUAUUUAUGUAUUACAGUGCUAAUAGCUUAAAAUAUUGGUGUGAACUGAAUAGCAAGAAAUUGAGCCAGCAAAGGUUUUUUCUGCUGUUAUCAAAUUGCUUGUGAAAUUAUUUUCUGUACACAGAGGAUGAAAGUAUGCAGUAUAGAUUUCUCUUAUACUUCUGUAGCUCUAUGGACUUCACAACACUUGCUUUGGAUUUUGUCAUUCAUGCAUGUUUGUUGUUCCAGUUUGGUUGGCUGGGGAAGGUGGGGAAGGCUAGGAGUGCUGGCUGCACUCUUGCUAAUGCAGCAUAGUGUGCAAGGUGCACUAUUUGCUAGAAGGGAGCAUUGCUGGCUCAUAUUAAACUUGGUGUCCAUCACGACAACUACUUACUGUUCUGCAAGGCUGCUUUCCAGACUGCUGACACCAAUGUUUUCAUGGUAGAGUACUGGCUGGAGAAGUGAUGAGUGACUAUUUGAGGUGAUAAAGAACAUCUGCUCCCAUUUUAUUUCUAGGUGAACACCUGACUGCCAAGAAGCUCAGAUCUGAGCUUGAAACCAGACUUCUUACAUGUUGCUUUCUUUCUUCUGUAGCUCUAAUACUGUGAGCAAGUAAGGAGAGGGAUUAGAAGCUAAGGUUGAGCAGAGAGCUUGAAAUUGUGAUGCAACACUUGGUGAAAGUACUGCCAAACAGACUUGCAAAGGUUUUUAAACAACACUUUUUGUUGUUGUGAUGCUUGAAAAAUCUCUUGUAACAGAAUUCAUCAAUCUUGGUGUGUUCCUGGGAGACAGACAGGUGAGAACUGAAAUCAGUGUGUUCUGUGUUUAAAGAGAAACACUACAAGAAUAGAAAAGAGUAAUAAGCAGUUGUUUUAAAUGUGCUGUUAGAUCCUAAAGCGUAUUCCUUCACAGAGAAAGACAGAAUGAAGCAGGAGAAGUGAGGAGGUCUUAGAUAGUCUGGUGACCUGCAGGAAAAAAAUAAGAGGGGAAUUAACCCAGCAGUCUCAAAUUAAAUACAGGUAAUAUGGCUGCCAUAGGGACAGUGCCUACAACAAAACCAGAAUAUCCCAAGGGCUCCAUAUUUCCAGUUAUGUUUGAUAUCUUUUUGGUACAGUAGCUGCUUAUACAUUUCCACUAAGAUGAUCAGAGGGCUGGAGCACCUCUCCUAUGAAGAAAAAUUGAGGGAACUGGUCUUGUUUA